rnacentral:tRNA from 1 species
CGAGAAAGAUCCAAGGACUGCUA